UCUCAGGGACUUGGAAUUUGUAAUGUGUAGUUGGAUUCUAGAUGGGAUUUGUAGAUGGACACAGGAUACGUGGAGCCCAUAAGUUAUCCUGCAGCCCUUUCACUUUCAUCCUAACUUUCUUUUAGUUGCAGAAGGAUAAAUCCAGGGCAGAGCCCCCCAUUCUGGGUGAGGGGAUUCCCCUGUGAAGGUCAGUCACUGUUUGUCUCUGCAGAGGAAGCAUAAAUUGUGGCUGCUGCAGCUCUGCUCUUUGUCUUUAUUUUUAGGAAGUCAAGGCAGAGAGCAGCUGUCAAGGCUGAGUGGGCAAGAUGGACUGCUUGCCAUCUAUCCUAGCCCAGCAUGCCCAUGCCAGGUGCUGUCGCUGCCCUAGGCAUGCCGGGGAAGAGAGGAGGGCAGGUGACUCGGAGUUUAGGCGGGCUGAUUCCUAGGUGAGCGUUAUGCAGCAGCAUGCUAAGUGUGUACAUUUUCUUUUUGCAGGUAUCUUCCAGGCGGCCUCUGGAGUCAAAUCAAGACUUGAGGUACCCUGGGCAGGCUUGUAGCCACAGCUUGGAAGCGGCAGCACCGAAGCGCACACAUUGAGAACGUCUCAACGUCCACGUCCGACCGAGGAUGGAUUUUGUCCGCUUGUCUUCCAAAAGCUAAGUGUCGGGGCCAGUGGUUGGGAGAAGGGGAAAAGCCUUUACUAUCACAGGAGGCAAUCUGAUGUCAGCUUAGCGGAGAGGUCUGUAGUGGGACAGGCUCCCUGGAAGUAAAGGGAGAGGGUUUCUCCUCAGCCUCACCAGAGCCUUUGCCGGGCAGGGCAGUUCCUACCCAUCUCCACAUUCUCGUGAACUUUGCGUCAUCUGCCUUCCUCGACUUGAAGUCGUCACGGC